GAUGAACGCUGGCGGCGUGCCUAAUACAUGCAAGUCGAGCGAACAGACGAGGAGCUUGCUCCUCUGACGUUAGCGGCGGACGGGUGAGUAACACGUGGAUAACCUACCUAUAAGACUGGGAUAACUUCGGGAAACCGGAGCUAAUACCGGAUAAUAUAUUGAACCGCAUGGUUCAAUAGUGAAAGACGGUUUUGCUGUCACUUAUAGAUGGAUCCGCGCCGCAUUAGCUAGUUGGUAAGGUAACGGCUUACCAAGGCAACGAUGCGUAGCCGACCUGAUAGGGUGAUCGGCCACACUGGAACUGAGACACGGUCCAGACUCCUACGGGAGGCAGCAGUAGGGAAUCUUCCGCAAUGGGCGAAAGCCUGACGGAGCAACGCCGCGUGAGUGAUGAAGGUCUUCGGAUCGUAAAACUCUGUUAUUAGGGAAGAACAAAUGUGUAAGUAACUAUGCACGUCUUGACGGUACCUAAGCAGAAAGCCACGGCUAACUACGU
rnacentral:rRNA from 1 species